GCACGGAGUGUGCAUAAGGACUCUGUUUGAGGCGGAUGCCUCUGGUGUACUUCCCCGACAUCAGAAACCUGCCUCAAACAGAGCCCUAUAUACACCCCAUCACCAC
rfam:Corynebacterium sp. KPL1989 genomic scaffold addTB-supercont1.2, whole genome shotgun sequence.